GGUAGUGACAAGAAAUACCAAUAUAGGACCCAACGGGUACUAUGUUUGGAAUGAGUACAAUUUAAAAACCUUAACGAGGAACAAUUGGAGGGCAAGUCUGGUGCCAGCAGCCGCGGUAAUUCCAGCUCCAAUAGUGUAUAUUAAAGUUGCUGCGGUUAAAAAGCUCGUAGUUGGAUUUCGGAGUUGUUAUCUGAACCUUCUCGCCAUAAAAAGUGGGGGGGCUAAGGUAGCAGUAGUUUUCAUCAUAGUCCACCAGGAUACUCUCUUGGUGUGUACUGGGUGUUAACCUCCUUUUUUCUUGGUACUUGCUAUCCAGCAAUGGGUAGUUUUGUCCAGAUAGUUUACUUUGUAAAAAUUAGAGUGUUCAAAGCAGCCUGUAUGGGCAUUGAAUAGAUUAGCAUGGGAUAAUAGAAUAGGAUUCUUACCUA
rnacentral:rRNA from 1 species